rnacentral:rRNA from 1 species
UACGAAGGGUGCAAGCGUUACUCGGAAUUACUGGGCGUAAAGCGUGCGUAGGUGGUUGUUUAAGUCUGCUGUGAAAGCCCUGGGCUCAACCUGGGAAUUGCAGUGGAUACUGGGCGACUAGAGUGUGGUAGAGGAUAGUGGAAUUUCCGGUGUAGCAGUGAAAUGCGUAGAGAUCGGAAGGAACAUCUGUGGCGAAGGCGACUAUCUGGGCCAACACUGACACUGAGGUGCGAAAGCGUGGGGAGCAAACAGG